AGGACGGAAUUCUGCACUGGUUAGAAAGCAGGACUGAUCACUUUCUAGGAGAUCUUUCACAUUUGGAUUCUUGGGUUGUUUGAGAGACAACUUCUUAAGGAGAAUAUGAGUAAGGAGACUAGAGUCUUGUAAAUGGAAUGACACUAUUUUCCCAACACCGUGCUGAGCCUGCCUUCAUUCAUGAAGUCCGCUCAGAAACUCCGUGAGGUGAGGGAGAGAGGAGGAAGCUUCCUCCUUUCAGCUUGCCCUGUGCUAUUCUCCCUACACAUACUUCCUAGGCUGGGGCACUUAAAGGAAAAGUGGAUCUCUAGAGUUCAGAGUGUAUACUACACAACACAAUUCUCCAGGGGACAUGGUUACUGGACUUUAAAUUCCAGCACCAUUGCCCUUUGCAGUCCCACCUCUGAUGAAGAGUGCCUGCCUAAGGAUGUGUUUAUGCUCUGGACAUUUAUGUGGUCACCAAUUGAGACAGUGCCACUUGCACGGAGUAGACUUAAUGGUGUGCCUAACACAUCUAUGUGUGUUGUAUGCUCUUUGGAAGUGAAGCAGCAGGAAUGUAUCAAAGAGAAGAGAAGUUGCUGGAAUAGAUGCUCAGCAUAG
ensembl:lincRNA